rnacentral:rRNA from 1 species
CCACGCCCUAAACGAUGUAUGCUAGUUGUUGGGAUGCUAGUCAUCUCAGUAAUGCAGCUAACGCAUUAAGCAUACCGCCUGGGGAGUACGGUCGCAAGAUUAAAACUCAAAGGAAUAGACGGGGACCCGCACAAGCGGUGGAGCAUGUGGUUUAAUUCGAAGAUACGCGAAGAACCUUACCUGGGCUUGAUAUCCUAAGAACCUUAUAGAGAUAUGAGGGUGCUAGCUUGCUAGAACUUAGAGACAGGUGCUGCACGGCUGU